GACGAACCGUGCGAACGUUGUUCGGAUUCACUGGGCUUAAAGGGCGCGUAGGCGGACGGUCAAGUCGGGGGUGAAAUCUUUCCGCUCAACGGGAAAAGUGCCUCCGAUACUGGGUCGCUGGAGGGGGAUAGGGGUGCGCGGAACUUCCGGUGGAGCGGUGAAAUGCGUAGAUAUCGGAAGGAACAUCAGUGGCGAAAGCGACUUCCUGGACCAAUACUGACGCGCAUGUGCGAAAGCGUGGGGAGCAAACAGG
rnacentral:rRNA from 1 species